UCCUCGAUAGUAUAGUGGUCAGUAUCCCCGCCUGUCACGCGGGAGAUCGGGGUUCAAUUCCCCGUCGGGGAG
rnacentral:tRNA from 2 species